ACUAUAUAAGUAUACCAAAUAAAUUUUAGUAUAGUUAAAUAACCGAAUAAUAACAUAUACAAAAAAUUCAAAAUAUAAACUAAAAAAUAGAACGUUUAAAAAAUAUUUGAACAAAUUAAUAUAUCUAUAAAUAUAAAACUCAUUAAUAAAUUAACAAAAAACAAAGAAAUAGUAACAAUAAAAAUCCAUAUAAAAAAUAGAGCAAAAUGAACUUACACAUAAUAAACAUAACCAGAAAAAAAAAUCAAUGAAAAUAAAUAUCCAUAUGAAAAACAUAACCAUAUAAAAAAAAGCAUGAAAAUAAAUUUAUAAUAAAUAUAUCGAUUUUUAAAUAAAAAAUUUUUAUUUAAAUAAUAAUCAACUAUAAUUCAUCGUUUGUGAGUGUUUAUGAAUGGACGUGUUUCAACCAGUGUAUACAACACAAAUCAAACGGAGUAAAACUACUAACAGUGAGUCUUUAACUCAGUAUAAUAGAAAAUAAUUAAGAAAAAGUUUAAUUAAAGUUAAAUAAUAAAAAAAAAUUAAAAUUAAGACGACUCUGUUAUUGAAUGGAAGAAAGGUAACGUCAGUUUGUUCUUCGGAGAUUCCGAUAUGAUUAAAAGACACUCGGAUAGUUACCACAGCCAAUCACAACUUAAUAAUUUAAAAUUUUUCCAAAAGCGACUUGUCGGAAUCGUACUCGUGUAUUAUUUUGACUGACCCACAUUUGGAAGUAAUUCAUGAGGUUCACGUUGUCGAAAAAUCCAUGGACCGCAAAGACGAUGACAAGAGGAUCUGGGUUAUUCCUGGAAAAAGAGUCGAGGUCGACGAAAUUCAGAGUACUUCUUUUUGUUGCUAAACUAGAGAUCCAACAGUAAAAAUUAUUUGGUCUCACAAGGUAGCAGAAACGGAAAAUUUACUUGGAUUUAAAUUUUUAUCUGUGGACUGACUUGUAUUUCUGUACUGCAUAAUUACGUGAUGACCUAUACACCACCUUUUUGCCGUGGGUGUAUAGCGGCAAAGAGAAACCACAGAGAAAACCUUUUGCCAGUACAGCUUUCAUUUUUCGGAGCGGGUGAAGUUUCAGUGAUCGAUAAAAUUCCGUGGCUCUUCAGUCCACGCCUAGCGCACAGAGACGUCCGAUCAAGUUCAAUGCAUGGCUAAGCGGUCAUCCAGCCAAACAGCAACCGCACUCGGUGCUGUUUAACUUUGGUGAUCGCCCGAGCUACACAUGAACCGAUUGGCUGCCUCUGCCCCCUGUUAAAUAUUUAAAGUAUUUACAAGGAUCGAAAUUACAACAUGGCGAAGAAAUUAAAAAAAAAAAAAAUAUAAUAAAUAAAUAUAAAAUGUAAUUUAUGUAAGUAUAUUUAAAAAAAUAAAAUAACAUAUGUAAGUAUAUUUAAAAUACAAUAAAAUAACA